GACGAACGCUGGCGGCGUGCUUAACACAUGCAAGUCGAACGGAAAGGCCCUGCUUUUGUGGGGUGCUCGAGUGGCGAACGGGUGAGUAACACGUGAGUAACCUGCCCUUGACUUUGGGAUAACUUCAGGAAACUGGGGCUAAUACCGGAUAGGAGCUCCUGCUGCAUGGUGGGGGUUGGAAAGUGUCGGCGGUUGGGGAUGGACUCGCGGCUUAUCAGCUUGUUGGUGGGGUAGUGGCUUACCAAGGCUUUGACGGGUAGCCGGCCUGAGAGGGUGACCGGCCACAUGGGGACAGAGAUACGGCCCAGACUCCUACGGGAGGCAGCAGUGGGGAAUAUUGCACAAUGGGCGGAAGCAUGAUGCAGCAACGCCGCGUGCGGGAAGACGGCCUUCGGGUGGGAAACAGCUUUCGCCUGUGACGAAGCGUGAGUGACGGUAAUGGGUAAAGAAGCACCGGCUACCUACGU
rnacentral:rRNA from 1 species